CCGGCAGGAUGCUUUAUCGGGCUGACGUUUACCGUCAGUCAGGAAAGUCCGGGCAACAAAGGGCGCUGUGCUUCCUAACGGGAAGAUUGCCGAAAGGUAAUAGCAACGUAACAGAAAAUAACCACCUUAUUGCGGUUUGCUGCAAUAGGGAACGGGUGAAAAGGUGUGGUAAAAGCGCACCGGUGGUGGUGGUAACAUCAUCAGCCGUACGGCUCACAGGUUGCAAAGCCAAAUAUAUCCUGAUUAUUUACCGCUGUUGCGGUAUGGCGGGGCUGCCCGUUUCGUAUCUCUUUGGGAUGUCAGGAGGGGUAGGCUGCAGAGACCCCGGUAGUGAUGCCGGGGCCAGAUAAAUGAUAAAGGCCCGCAAGGGUACAGAACCCGGCUUACAUUCCUGCCUUUUAA
rnacentral:RNase_P_RNA from 1 species